GACGAACGCUGGCGGCGUGCUUAACACAUGCAAGUCGAACGGAAAGGCCCUGCUUUUGUGGGGUGCUCGAGUGGCGAACGGGUGAGUAACACGUGAGUAACCUGCCCUUGACUUUGGGAUAACUUCAGGAAACUGGGGCUAAUACCGGAUAGGAGCUCCUGCUGCAUGGUGGGGGUUGGAAAGUUUCGGCGGUUGGGGAUGGACUCGCGGCUUAUCAGCUUGUUGGUGGGGUAGUGGCUUACCAAGGCUUUGACGGGUAGCCGGCCUGAGAGGGUGACCGGGGACAUUGGGGCUGAGAUACGGGCCAGACUCCGAGGGGAGGCAGCAGUGGGGAAUAUUGCACAAUGGGCGGAAGCCUGAUGCAGCAACGCCGCGUGCGGGAUGACGGCCUUCGGGUUGUAAACCGCUUUCGCCUGUGACGAAGCGUGAGUGACGGUAAUGGGUAAAGAAGCACCGGCUAACUACGUG
rnacentral:rRNA from 1 species